AGAGAUGGAGACUAACGUCUUCCAAGGGAGAUUGCGUCUCCACUUUCACCCUGGUACUGAGAGGUUGAGCACAAAAUUGGUAACCAAUGCUGCGCUUCCAGCAAAUUUUCCCACCAGCACCCAAUCCUGGGAUAUUUAUUCUCUUUGUCUCACAUCCUACAGGAACGCAGUCGCGGGGUAUAUCCCCCUGAAAACCGUACGUUGCCAAAUAAUGAUUUCUUUGGAUUAGAGAACUACAACUCCCCUGGGUCCUGAGCCGGUAUUUCCCUUUUGCGGCUGCACCGUAGUUAAAAACAAAGCUAAGUGUUCUGGGACGUAUAGUUCUAGCGUUCCUUGGGUCCCGCUGGCGAGCGUGGGCUUUCUGCAGCUCGCAACCGGCCUCGUGCUUUGCGGACGGUUCACUGCGCUUGGAAAGGGAUUGGCCUGGGGUACAUCAUCUAAAGAUCCUAGGAUUGCUGCAGGUCAGCAGUCUCCACUGGAAAAAAAGAUCUUGGGGUACACUCCUUUGGAAACCAGAACCUCGUAUCCUGCACAGCCCAGUGUUGGGAGAUAAAAUAUGCGAAAUACCCCAUUGAGUGAAUCUAAGAGAUUGGACAUGGAGCCAAACCUGCUUCCGCCUUUUGAUUUCUGGACACACAUGUUCUUCCUAUUGAGAACACAGAACUCUAGAGACGUCUCUGAUUCAAACAAUGCACUGUGUCCUGAAAGAUGGCACCCACCCCUCAGAGUGCUUCCUCCAGGCUGGCACUGAGUUGUGCCUGUAGAAGACCUGUCCAGCCUUCCUUGUGGCUGGCAGCUCCUGGGUAGUGCAGAUGGUGAUAGGAUUAGUGGAACCCACAGCCGUGGAAACACUGAAACUUUCCCUGCAAAGUGGGUCCUUCAGGCAGAUAAUGGGCUAGGAGCACUGCCUAGCCUGCAGACCAGGAAUGUCAACAGCACCCAGAGAGUGGUGCUGGCUGUGUCUGAGAGCAGGACAGGAAAACCCACCCAUAGAAUCGGUACCUAACCCUGUGAAGAUGAAACUCUGGCCCUUCCAGGUUGGAAGUAGCUAAAUGUAGUCAACUUGUUACUUAGUGGGUAGUCAUGUAAAGAAAUAGUGCCCCACUAGGGCACAUCAUGGGCCUCAAUUGCUGAUGAGUUGGACAUUCAGAGGUGGCAGCAGCUGGAUCUGCCUUGGUGUGGGGAAGUCAGUGCUGCUGGCCCCUUACGGAGCCUCAUGCCUGCCACUGUGGUUGCUCCAUUCAUGCACUCAUCCUACCAGGCCUGGGCUGACCCAUGGUGAAAGCUGGCUAACUGCCAUUUGUCUGUUUGGUAGUUCAGUGCCACUUCAGACUUGGGUGUUUUCUGUGGGUGUCAGCAAGGGAUUCAAGCUCAACCCAGGUGGACUGUUUUCACCUGAUGAUGAAUGCUGUUGGGCCUGUACCAUCUAUGACUUUGUGGGUCACACAGGCACUUGGAACCCCGUAGUUGCUUGGUAUCCCGUGGUCAAACAUUCUAUUGAAUCAGGACAAGGAACACUAAAAGUUGCUUCUAACAGGGGGCAUGUGUCUCUGCUGUGGAUGACAUGAUCUUACUCCAGAAUCCCAGGCCCUCCACUGUGACUCUCCCACUGGUGCUUGGUUCAGCUCCAUCCUGUGUCUUUCCCCACCACUGGCACCACCAGCCCCAGGGGUCUGAGGGAUGGUGGCUGCUUGUACCAUGGCCUGGAUCUGCUGCAGGGUCCUUUCCUGUGUAGGCCCCACUUGAAGCUGGCAUCCUCCUAUGUCACCUAGACUGUGGGCCAAAGCAAAAUGUCUAGAUGUGGAAUGUGGUGUUGUUAUAAUUCAAAGAGGCUCACCAAGCAGUGUGCUUCCUUGCUUCUGGUGAGGAUGCAAGAUGCAACAGUUUUUCUUUUACCUUGGAGGGGACACACCUGCAUUCCCCUAAACACUUGGCACUUGUUCACCCAUAAAACUUCACUUCAGUGCCCACCUUUGAAGCUGUAUAAGGUUUAUCUUCACCUUGUGGGGUGCGUGUGUUUUGCAAAGGACUACAGUGCACUUUCUUCCUGCUGCUCAUCUACUCCAGUCAACAUGAAGUUGUCAAUGAAAUGUGCUGAUUUAAUAUCCUAAAGGAUAUGCAGUAUGUCCAGUACAGUCUUAAGCCUAUACUAUAGAGGGCACAGGUGUUACAAUAGCCCUGAGGCAAACAAUAAAUAAAUGUGUCGUUGAUUCCA
rnacentral:lncRNA from 1 species